rnacentral:rRNA from 1 species
AUUGAACGCUGGCGGAAGGCCUAACACAUGCAAGUCGAACGAGUGGCGGACGGGUGAGUAAUGUCUGGGAAACUGCCCGAUGGAGGGGGAUAAAUACUGGAAACGGUAGCUAAUACCGCAUACCAACGGAUGUGCCCAGAGGGGCUUAGCUAGUAGGUGGGGUAACGGCUCACCUAGGAGACGAUCCCUAGCUGGUCUGCGCGGAUGAACAGCCACACUGGAACUGAGACACGGUCCAGACUCCGACGGUAGGAAGCAGUGGGGAAUAUUGCACAAUGGGCGCAAGCCUGAUGCAGCCAUGCCGCGUGUAUGAAGAAGGCCUUCGGGUUGUAAAGUACUUUCAGCGGGGAGGCGUUACUCGCAGAAGAAGCACCGGCUAACUCCGUGCCAGCAGCCGCGGUAAUUC